rnacentral:rRNA from 1 species
ACACGAAGCCGGAAUCGCUAGUAAUCGCGGAUCAGAAUGCCGCGGUGAAUACGUUCCCGGGUCUUGUACACACCGCCCGUCACACCAUGGGAGUCGGAAAUGCCCGAAGUCAGUGACCCAACCGGAAGGAAGGAGCUGCCGAAGGUGGAGCCGGUAACUGGGGUGAAGUCGUAACAAGGUAGC